GAUCUCCCUUAGAGAUAGGGUGAGAAGUGCAGACAUCUGGGAGAGGCUCCACAUGAAGAAAAGCCAAAGGAGGUGGUUCAAGCAUCUGAUAUGGAUGCCUACUGGGUGCCUCCCUGUGGAGGUUUUACAGGCACCAACAGCUGGGAGGAGACCCCUGGGAAGACCCAGAGCUUGCUAAGAGAAUUAUAUCUCACAGAUGGCCUGGGAUGUCUUUGGAUCCCACAAUAUGAGUUGGCAAGGGUGGCCAGGAGAAGUGGACAUUGGGGCCUCACUGGUAAGACUUGUCCCCAUGACCUGGGUUUGGAUAAAUGGUGGAAAAUUAAAGAAAUGAAUGAAUGAAUAUUUGCUGAAAAAUAGCUAAAGAUAUAAUUGGGACACAUUUAGGUAAAUUAGUCUGAAUACUAACAAAACAUCUAUGCAAUUUAGACCUAUUUGUGACAGUAAUCGAUUCAGCAUGUAGUUUGCUAUGUCCCAUUGUAAAAAUAAAUUCUGGAUUAAAUUAAAAGCUUACAUUAAAAAAGGAAUGUACCAGUAGGUGGAUAUUGGCUUUGCAGAGGUGUAUAAAACCCCACUAAAAACAAUAAAAACAUUUUGUUUAUAAAUAACUUAAGUAAUAUAUUGGCCCAUUUAUAUACCACAGUUCAAAUUCAAACAAAAACACGGUCAGGUUACAGUUAAAUAUCAUUUAUGAAAAAUGUUUACAUGAUGUAAAUAAGGAUAAAUUCCACAUCAUGUUCAUAUUUUACAUUCUGUAUCUGCCACUGAUACACCUCUACAUUCAUUUUAAAAAUGUUCAAAAAGGAUUUUACUAAAAAACUUAUUUUGAGUGUAUACAGUAUGUGCUGUUAUCUAUUUGUUAAUGUUAAAAAGGAAAAAUAAAAACAAACAAAACAACACUUUCCAUUUCUGUUCAGCCACACUGAAUUAAAUGAAAUGAGUUCCGCAUCACUGCCAUCCCAGUUUGCCCCAAUAACGAGGAAGGUUCAUCUGUAACUCCAAAAGUUGAUCUUCCACAGUCCGUACAAAGAGAAGGAGAAGAGUAGCUGAACAUUUUUUCCACUUCAAAAAAGAAAAGGAGCUGAAAACUUUUCCCAAUACAGAACAAUGGCUCAACAGAAUCAGCCACAUAUCUCCAUAUAUAUGCUGAGAAUAUAAACCCAAUAUUGAUUAAAUAUCAAAAUGAUUCCAAGUGCCCUCUUUGCAAAAAGCUGGGAGACUACAGCAUCCUUCUGCAUCACCUUCAGAGCCAUGAACCCAAUGUCGUAAAAUAUGCAGGUGUUUACGCCAGUAGUGUAUGCAUGUGUGUUUUAUUUUAUAAAAUCACACUAGGCUACUUUACUUGCAAAUAAUACUGAUUGUUAUAUUUUUUUAAUUAGAACUUUUGUCAAGUUUUACUAUCUGUAGAUGCAGCACAGAGUAUGUCACAAGUGGCCAGUUCCAAUGUUGGCUUUGUUAAAUCUUCAUUGUCAACAGUUUAGUGUAGUUAAUGUUUUUCUUUGAUUGAUUUAUUUUUUUACUCCUUGUAUUAAGGCAUUCCAAGUCUGAUGAAUAACCAUGACUGUGGAAUUUUCAUGUUGAUGCAGUUUUGGAGGGAGAAUUAUAGUUGGUCGUGGUUUCCCAUGAUUGUCACCAUCUACAAUGAGUGUUGGAAUGACAUGCUGGCUUUGAAGAAGUGCUGGUGUAUAAUGUCGCUUGUGAACUGCAACAUCAAGAGGCAUUUCCUUUGUUACUUUCAUUGGAGAAAGACAACAUAGAGGAGACCCUUCAGAAAAUUUGAUUUGCUCCCUGAAUUUCCAGAUGAAGAGGAAAGAGAAUACAUCUUUAGUCCCUUCAUCUUCCCUUUUUUUCAAAAUAUGGAAGACAUGCAUCAGUUUUUAGAUAAGCGUUCUUGCUUUCACCACACCACCCGUCGAAAAGCUGGCAUUAAAAGGUGAUGGACUUCAGUUUUCAUUAUUUUUUUUUCUGCCUCCAUUUCGUUUAUACACUGCUUUUUUGUUUUC